rnacentral:tRNA from 1 species
CAGGGAGACAACAAAAUGUUUAAUAUUAUUAUUUUGUCACCUUAGGUCGAUCGGUAUCUCACAUUCUUAAUUUAUUAAGGAUUUCAUUUCCUAAGUUUUUCUAGGUCACACCCAUUAUUUUUCCUGGGCCAUUAGCUCAGGUGGUUAGAGCGCACCCCUGAUAAGGGUGAGGUCCCUGGUUCAAGUCCAGGAUGGCCCAUAUCUCUAUGUUGGGGGUAUAGCUCAGUUGGUAGAGCGCCUGCUUUGCAAGCAGGAUGUCAGCGGUUCGAGUCCGCUUACCUCCACUGAUUACCACCUCUUCCAUAAUAUUGAUGAAGGAAAUGUUUUGAGUUGUGAUCAAAUUCUGAACGAUUCUAGCUUCCUAAUGAAAUCAUUAAGAUGCUGGAUUCAUUGAAUUAAUUUCAUUGUUUUCAGAGAACCUUGACAACUGCAUAGAUUAUUUUUAAAGACAAUAAGCAUCUUUAAUGAUGCAGAUUUAUUAUUUGUGCGAAUGCAUUAAAUAACAAUUCUAUUAAGCUGAUGCUUCAAAAUAUUGAAGUUAUU